GGGCCCGCACAAGCGGUGGAGCAUGUGGUUUAAUUCGACGCAACGCGCAGAACCUUACCAGGGUUUGACAUCCUGUGCUACGUGCAGAGAUGCACGGUCCCCGCAAGGGGCGCAGAGACAGGUGCUGCAUGGCUGUCGUCAGCUCGUGUCGUGAGAUGUUGGGUUAAGUCCCGCAACGAGCGCAACCCUCGCCUUUAGUUGCCAUCAUUUAGUUGGGCACUCUAGAGGGACCGCCGGCGACAAGCCGGAGGAAGGUGGGGAUGACGUCAAGUCCUCAUGGCCCUUACACCCUGGGCUACACACGUGCUACAAUGGCGGUGACAGUGGGCAGCGACCACGCGAGUGGAUGCGAAUCCCAAAAAACCGUCCCAGUUCAGAUUGUACUCUGCAACUCGAGUACAUGAAGGUGGAAUCGCUAGUAAUCGCAGAACAGCAGGCUGCGGUGAAUACGUUCCCGGGCCUU
rnacentral:rRNA from 1 species